AUACGGAGGGUGCAAGCGUUAAUCGGAAUUACUGGGCGUAAAGCGUACGUAGGCGGUUCGUUAAGUUAGAUGUGAGAGCCCCGGGCUUAACCUGGGAACUGCAUUUAAAACUGGCGAACUAGAGUUGAGUAGAGGGGAGUGGAAUUUCAGGUGUAGCGGUGAAAUGCGUAGAGAUCUGAAGGAACACCAGUGGCGAAGGCGACUCCCUGGACUCAAACUGACGCUGAGGUACGAAAGCGUGGGUAGCAAACGGGAUUAGAAACCCCAGUAGUCC
rnacentral:rRNA from 1 species